rnacentral:rRNA from 1 species
AUUGAACGCUGGCGGCAUGCUUUACACAUGCAAGUCGAACGGUAACAGGGUGCUUGCACCGCUGACGAGUGGCGAACGGGUGAGUAAUGCGUCGGAACGUGCCGAGUAGUGGGGGAUAACGCAGCGAAAGUUGUUCUAAUACCGCAUACGUACUGAGGUAGAAAGUGGGGGACCUUCGGGCCUCACGCUAUUCGAGCGGCCGACGUCUGAUUAGCUAGUAGGUGAGGUAAAGGCUCACCUAGGCGACGGUCAGUAGCGGGUCUGAGAGGAUGAUCCGCCACACUGGGACUGAGACACGGCCCAGACUCCUACGGGAGUCAGCAGUGUGGAAUUUUGGACGAUGGGCGAAAGCCUGAUCCAGCCAUGCCGCGUGUCUGAAGAAGGCCUUCGGGUUGUAAAGGACUUUUGUCAGGGAGGAAAUCCCUAGUGCUAAUAACACUGGGGGAUGACAGUACCUGAAGAAUAAGCACCGGCUAACUACGUGCCAGCCGCCGCCGUAA